CACUAAGUUGAGAGAGAACACCAGUCACAUGGGUUCUGUCACCUCCUCAAACACCACAAGUGCUUGCUGCUGGCAGGCAGCUAGACACAGCAUGGGGACUAAAGGAUCUCUACCUCUGUGAGUGUCUAAUGAAGGAAUGUGACUUCCCAAGCCUGAAUGACCAGCCUCUAAAGCAGCUGGAAGGGAAGCAGCUGGCAGCAGGAUCCCAUGGAUAUUAAGCGCCCUUCCAAUAACCUUAUAACCCUGCCAAGAAAUCAGUGUCACCAGACACCACCUAAAAAUGGAAGAUUAAUUCAGCCACAAAUUAGGACCUUUACUCCACCUCAGUCCCCCAAAUCCUCAUGUGCACAGGAAGAGGUUCUAGUCCUCUGUAACAUAUCCCAAACAAAGCCAGCUGGACUCAGGCUUCUUUCUUAGGGCAAUAGAAGCAAGAGCUGCUAGAAGAAACAGGCCAGCAUGGAAUAUCUGUUGGGACCUUUGUUAUCUCCAGGUAACUUCUGAUCUCAUAAAGAACACACUCAAAGGCUACCCACAUCACCAUUUGCUACAAAAGAACAGAAAUCCUUUACAAUGCUCUGUAGCCACAUUAUUUGGUAGACCAAAAUAACAAGGCCCAGACACAUGUUAUUCCCAUGGUUUCAAAGCCUCUUUGGCCUUUAGCGGUUUUCCCUCAGCCUGCCCACAAUCCCACUCCUUAUUAGAACUUUCCUACUCCAUUUUUCCCCCUCUUCUCUUUAAAAACAGCCUUGUAGCAUUCCAUAAAGGUUUCUUAUAAAUGAUAAAUACUGUAAUGUUGGGGACAGAAAAUGGGCUCAGACCUGAAUUGAAUCCCUAACUCCACUACUUGCUGUGUGACCUUGGUCAAGUUACUUUACCUCUGUAAGCUUCAUGAUCCUCUCCAUGCAGCGUUUGAGAUGAUGUAUAUAUUAAAGUACCUCACACAUAGUAGUUGUUCAAAUGAUAGUUUCCUUUUCCUUUACCUUGAACCUAGUACUUAAAUAUUUGUUGAAGGAAUUAACUCCUGAGGAAGGAGCUUGGGAAAGAGCCGACAGGGAUUAUUGCACAGGACUUCUCAGCCUUGAAUGUUCUAAUGUAUACUUUGACUCUCAAAGAGGAGUGAAGGUGUAACAUUUUCCCAAUUUAUUUGACCACAGAAUCCUGACUUUGAGGAACACUUAGUACCUUCUUAAUGAACACAGUGUUCCAUAAAACAUGGGAACCCACCAGAAAUAGCCCUCAGGCCUGCCCAACUCUGAGACCUUUCACUGAUGGCCAGAGAAAGUGAGGACCUUGGGAAACAAAUCACACAGUCUGAUAUCUCCCCACAUACCCAGUGGAGCCCCUGACUUACCAGAAAUGGCAUCAGGCUCAGGUUUGCUCCCUGGCAGAUCCUCCACAGAUGUGCUGCUGCCCUCAGCACCAACACCGCAUCCCCGAGGCCCCAUGGCACUGGAGCGCCGCCGCUCGUGGAUCUCAUCUGAGAUCAUCUCCAGGUUCUUCAGGGCCAUCUUGUACUCGCCUUUUGCCAGGGUCAGUUUGGCCUGCAGGUCAUCCACGGUCUUUUUCAGUUGCUGAUCAAGAGAACAGGAGACUAAGUGAAGACUACCCUGCUAGCCUUAAGAUGCUUUCUGAAUGACAGGUUCAAGUACAUUUUCUGCCCAUCAUUCCACUUCAAGGAAUUUUCCAAGACAUGACUGAAGACCUAAUUACCAUUAUAACUGCUAUUCAUUCACCAGACAAAAUCAGCCACCACCAUCCCCAGAUCCCAUCCAGGUGACAACCUCUAAUAUCCAAAAACUCUCACUGGUGGAAUAAACCCCAUCAGGGAAGCAAAAAUGGGCAUCAGACACACCAAAGUCCCACAGUCUAGACAUCUGGUUCCCAGCACAGUGGUUCUCAAAGUUGAGCUUGCAUCAAAAUCCCCUUGGGUGUUAAGACUCAGCUCACUAGACUCCAAACUCAAGAGUUUCUAAUUCAGUCGGUCUAGAGUGGGACCUGGUCUAUCAGGUCUCCAGGUGAUGCUGAUGCUGCUGGUCCUAAGAGCAUGCUGUGAGAACCACUGGCCUAGUACAACAGAGAAAGUGACUGAAUGGCAGUUACAGAGGUUCAGAGACCACUGAAGACCCAACCGAGACAAUUUUGAGGUCUGAAAACUCAGUAAAGCCUGUCUCUCCACUUUCCCCUUAUAGCAAGUGGCCCAUGUGAUAUUCUGCUACCCCAGAAAAGUGAAGCUUUGAGUGCAGAAAAAUCUCAUCAGUGACGAAGCCCAAAGCUACACAUACCUCGAGCUGCACAUAGUACUUUGCCUUGAGUUCAAAAUAAGGCCUGCAGAAGACAGGAAGGAAAGCCAUCAGAGUAAUAUAAUACAGUGACCACAAUCAACUCCACAAGAUGAACAAGAGGCAUCAGCUACCACUGGCCAGGUCGUCCUUCCAAUAUUUAGUAAACUCUUAACAAGGCCAUGACAUGUCAAUGAUGCUCCUAGCUCUGGAGACUGACAGACACCAGAUGGAACGACUGGGCUCACCCAGGGCUAUAUUAACAGGAGGCCCAUCUCAAGACACGGGGAACCCACACACACAUAUCUUGGGGACUCUGCAACUUAGCUCAUGUUCCUCCUCUGUGGGAAGGCUGUUCAGAGCCUCACAGGUUAUACCCAGCAGUAAGGGUGGCCUGGAUCUGCUCUCCUAAUGAAGUUGGCUCCCCAGGGAUGAAGAGCAGCUGAGGCUGGAGAAGGGGCUGCUUAAACCUCCUCCUCUACUGAAGUCAACUGGGGAAGAGAGAGAAGCACCACUCCUCCCUCACAGCACAGCAAGGCCACCACUAGGAGGGGGUCUCAGGUUGGUCCUCCCGAACCUUGUCCAAAGACUGGAGUUAUUAGUUGGCUGACUCAGCCACAUAAUGGGCCCAAGAAAUGCCAGCAUCCUAGCAGUUCCCUUGGUUCUGGGUCAGCUGAAAGAGCUUGGCUCUUUUUUAGGAACUUUGGUGCCUGAACAUUAAGAGUAGAUCACUGCUUUAUUCUUGAGCCAUUCACCCUCCAUGAAGCUCUCAAGUCCUGCAUCCUGAGGAUCCAGAUGGAUGACAAGGACACAGGACUGCCAUUGAGAAAUGAAGAUGAACUGUGUCACAGAUGCAGUGGAUUACUGACUGCUCUUGUAAUAGUCCAUUUUGUAUCUGUUGGUAAUUCAUUGAGGCAUUCUUGGUUUUCUAUGAGUUUGUAUUUUUUGAAUUCAAGAAUUGUAACAUCACUGUUAGAUCCCUCCUUAUUUAAUGAGAGAAAUAAAAUAUUUGACAUGAGAAAAUUUUA